UACGGAGGGGACGAGCGUUAUUCGGAAUUAUUGGGCGUAAAGGGCGCGUAGGCGGCUGUACAAGUCAAAGGUGAAAUCCCUCGGCUCAACUGAGGAACUGCCUUUGAAACUGUACGGCUUGAGGCCGGGAGGGGGUAGCGGAAUUCCCAGUGUAGCGGUGAAAUGCGUAGAUAUCGGGAGGAACACCUGUGGCGAAAGCGGCUCACUGGACCACAACUGACGCUGAGGCGCGAAAGCUAGGGGAGCAAACAGG
rnacentral:rRNA from 1 species